rnacentral:tRNA from 1 species
UGGCUCAGUGGUUAAGAGCACUGACUGAUAUUCCAGAGGUCCUGAGUUCAAUUCCCAG